rnacentral:rRNA from 1 species
GAUGAACGCUAGCUACAGGCUUAACACAUGCAAGUCGAGGGGCAGCGGGAUUGAAGCUUGCUUCAAUUGCCGGCGGCCGGCGCACGGGUGAGUAACGCGUAUCCAACCUUCCGUACACUCAGGGAUAGCCUUUCGAAAGAAAGAUUAAUACCUGAUGGUAUGAUGAGAUUGCAUGAUAUCAUCAUUAAAGAUUUAUCGGUGUACGAUGGGGAUGCGUUCCAUUAGGUAGUAGGCGGGGUAACGGCCCACCUAGCCAACGAUGGAUAGGGGUUCUGAGAGGAAGGUCCCCCACAUUGGAACUGAGACACGGUCCAAACUCCUACGGGAGGCAGCAGUGAGGAAUAUUGGUCAAUGGACGAGAGUCUGAACCAGCCAAGUAGCGUGAAGGAUGAAGGUCCUACGGAUUGUAAACUUCUUUUAUAAGGGAAUAAACCCUCCCACGUGUGGGAGCUUGUAUGUACCUUAUGAAUAAGCAUCGGCUAACUCCGUG